UACAGAGGGGGCAAGCGUUGUUCGGAAUUACUGGGCGUAAAGGGCGCGUAGGUGGCCUUCUAAGUCGAACGUGAAAUCCCUGGGCUCAACCCAGGAACUGCGUCCGAUACUGGAUGGCUUGAAUCCGGGAGAGGGAUGCAGAAUUCCAGGUGUAGCGGUGAAAUGCGUAGAUAUCUGGAGGAAUACCGGUGGCGAAGGCGGCAUCCUGGACCGGCAUUGACGCUGAGGAGCGAAAGCCAGGGGAGCAAACGGG
rnacentral:rRNA from 1 species